rnacentral:rRNA from 1 species
AACGAACGUUAGCGGCGCGCUUAACACAUGCAAGUCGCACGAGAAAGGGCUUCGGCCCCGGUAAAGUGGCGCACGGGUGAGUAGCACGUGGGUAACCUUCCCUCUGGCGGGGGAUAACAUUCCGAAAGGAGUGCUAACACCGCGUAAGACCACGGCCUCGUAAGAGGUUGGGGUAAAAGCAGGCCUCUGCAUGCAAGCUUGCACCAGGGGAUGGGCCCGCGGCCCAUCAGCUAGUUGGUAGGGUAACGGCCUAUCAAGGCAAAGACGGGUAGCUGGUCUGAGAGGAUGAUCAGCCACACUGGAACUGAGACACGGUCCAGACUCCUACGGGAGGCAGCAGUGGGGAAUCUUGCGCAAUGGACGAAAGUCUGAUGCAGCGACGCCGCGUGAGUGAUGAAGGCCUUCGGGUUGUAAAGCUCUGUGGGGAGGGACGAAUUAGUGGAGGCCAAUACCCUCCAUGAUGACGGUACCUCCUUAGCAAGCACCGGCUAACUCUGUGCCAGCAGCCGCCGUAAGAC